AAGUGGGAUGUGAAAGCCCUGGGCUCAACCUGGGAACUGCAUCCCAAACUGUCAGGCUAGAGUAUGGUAGAGGGGGGCGGAAUUCCCGGUGUAGCGGUGAAAUGCGUAGAGAUCGGGAGGAACAUCAGUGGCGAAGGCGGCCCCCUGGACUGAUACUGACGCUGAGGUGCGAAAGCGUGGGGAUCAAACAGGAUUAGAUACCCUGGUAGUCCACGCUGUAAACGAUGAGAACUGGCCGUCGGGCCCUUCGGGGUUUGGUGGCGUAGCUAACGCGCUAAGUUCUCCGCCUGGGGAGUACGGCCGCAAGGCUAAAACUCAAAUGAAUUGACGGGGGCCCGCACAAGCGGUGGAGCAUGUGGUUUAAUUCGAUGCAACGCGAAGAACCUUACCUGCCCUUGACAUCCUCGGAACUUGUCAGAGAUGACUUGGUGCCUUCGGGAACCGAGAGACAGGUGCUGCAUGGCU
rnacentral:rRNA from 1 species